GACGAACGCUGGCGGCGUGCUUAACACAUGCAAGUCGAGCGGCAGCGGGUUCCCGCGAGGGGAUGCCGGCGAGCGGCGGACGGGUGAGGAACACAUCGGAAUCUGCCUGGUUGUGGGGAUAACGUAGGAACGUUACGCUAAUACCGCAUGAGACCCUGAGUCGACGGAACUGGGGUGGAAAGUGAGGGACCGUUCGGUCCGUCACGCGACCAGAUGAGCCGA
rnacentral:rRNA from 1 species